UUGCAACACGACUUUAGCACUUGUACUAAAAUAGGAACAACAUAGAGAAGAUUAGCAUGGGUCCUGUGCGAGGGUGAUUCAAUAACUUCAUGAAUAUUUAUAAAUGUAU
ensembl:snRNA U6 U6 spliceosomal RNA